GACGAACGCUGGCGGCGUGCCUAACACAUGCAAGUCAACUUGACUGAAGGAGCAAUCUGACAGUAGAGUGGCGCAAGGGUGCGUAACGCGUAAGUAACUUGCCCCAAGGUAAGGAAUAACGUCGAGAAAUCGGCGCUAAUACCUCAUAAUGCAGCGGAUCCGCAUGGAUAUGUUGUUAAAGGUUUACCGCCUUGGGAUAGGCUUGCGUCUGAUUAGCUAGUUGGUGUGGUAACGGCACACCAAGGCUACGAUCAGUAACUGGUCUGAGAGGAUGAUCAGUCACACUGGAACUGAGACACGGUCCAGACUCCUACGGGAGGCAGCAGUGAGGAAUAUUGGGCAAUGCUCGAAAGAGUGACCCAGCAACGCCGCGUGGAGGAUGAAGGUAUUCUAUAUCGUAAACUCCUGUGAGAGCAGACGAAAGACAGAUUAUUAAUCU
rnacentral:rRNA from 1 species